GUUCCAAUGAAGAAGUGACUAGAGAUGUGUUUUGUGAGUUAGAGGCACAUAUUGUAUGGUGUUGGAAUUGCCCUGCUGUUGAUGUGCUCAGAUUUUAUGUUGACAAAAGCGGUCGAACAUGGAUGGUGAUGUUGACUUAAACGGGCACUUUUCAGAAGAACACGGUGGACCAGGGCUUGAUGAGUUGGUCGACACAGACAGAAUGCAGAGUUCCUCCCCUGCUCUUGACACACUUGAGCACUGAAAGGACUGUGCGACUG